CACGUAGGUUGCGAUUUAAGUCUGCUGUGAAAGUCCUGGGCUUAACCUGGGAAUGUCAGUAGAUACUGGAUAGCUAGAGUACAGGAGAGGGAAGUGGAAUUUCCGGUGUAGCGGUGAAAUGCGUAGAUAUCGGAAGGAACACCAGUGGCGAAGGCGACUUUCUGGCCUGAUACUGACACUGAAGUGCGAAAGCGUGGGUAGCGAACA
rnacentral:rRNA from 1 species